GACGAACGCUGGCGGCAUGCCUAAUACAUGCAAGUCGAGCGAACAGAUGAAGUGCUUGCACUUCUGACGUUAGCGGCGAACGGGUGAGUAACACGUAAGGAAUCUACCUAUAAGCGGGGGAUAACAUUCGGAAACGGGUGCUAAUACCGCAUAAUAUCUUCUUCCGCAUGGAAGAAGAUUGAAAGACGGCUCUGCUGUCACUUAUAGAUGACCUUGCGGUGCAUUAGUUAGUUGGUGGGGUAACGGCCUACCAAGACGAUGAUGCAUAGCCGACCUGAGAGGGUGAUCGGCCACAUUGGGACUGAGACACGGCCCAAACUCCUACGGGAGGCAGCAGUAGGGAAUCUUCCGCAAUGGGCGAAAGCCUGACGGAGCAAUGCCGCGUGAGUGAAGAAGGCCUUCGGGUCGUAAAACUCUGUUAUAAGAGAAGAACGAACUGUAGAGUAACUGCUACAGUCUUGACGGUAUCUUAUCAGAAAGCCACGGCUAACUACGUGUCAGCAGCCGCCGUAA
rnacentral:rRNA from 1 species